AUUCAGCUGAUGAGUUUCAAAUAGAACGAAACAUACAUCCUGAAU
rnacentral:hammerhead_ribozyme from 1 species